GCCAGGCACGGUGGCGCACACCUGUAAUCCCAGCAACUCAGGAGGCUGAGGCAGGAGGAGUGCAAGUUCAAGGCCAGCCUCAGCAGCUUAGCAAGAUCCCGUCUCAA
rnacentral:sRNA from 1 species